GAUGAACGCUGGCGGCGUGCCUAAUACAUGCAAGUCGAGCGAACAGACGAGGUGCUUGCUCUUCUGACGUUAGCGGCGGACGGGUGUGUAACACGUGGAUAACCUACCUAUAAGUCUUGGAUAACUUCGGGAAACCGGAGCUAAUACCGGAUAAUAUAUUGAACCGCACGGUUCAAUAGUGAAAGACGGCUUUGCUGUCACUUAUAGAUGGAUCCACGCCGGAUUAGCUAGUUGGUAAGGUAACGGCUUACCAAGGCAACGAUGCGUAGCCGACCUGAGAGGGGGAUCGGCAACACUGGAACUGAGACACGGUCCAGACUGCUACGGGAGGCAGCAGUAGGGUUUCUUCCGCAGUGGGCGAAAGCUGGACGGAGCAGCGAGGCGUGAGUGAUGAAGGUUUUCGGAUCGUAAAACUCUGUUUUUAGGGAGGAGCAAAUGUGCAAGUAGCAAUGCGCGUCUUGACGGUACCUGGUCAAGAAGCCACGGCUAACUACGUG
rnacentral:rRNA from 1 species